UGGGGAAUUUUGGACAAUGGGCGCAAGCCUGAUCCAGCCAUGCCGCGUGCGGGAAGAAGGCCUUCGGGUUGUAAACCGCUUUUGUCAGGGAAGAAAUCUUCUGAGUUAAUACCUCGGGAGGAUGACGGUACCUGAAGAAUAAGCACCGGCUAACUACGUGCCAGCAGCCGCGGUAAUACGUAGGGUGCAAGCGUUAAUCGGAAUUACUGGGCGUAAAGCGUGCGCAGGCGGUUUUGUAAGACAGAGGUGAAAUCCCCGGGUUCAACCUGGGAACUGCCUUUGUGACUGCAAGGCUUGAGUGCGGCAGAGGGGGGAUGGAAUUCCGCGUGUAGCAGUGAAAUGCGUAGAUAUGCGGAGGAACGCCGAUGGCGAAGGCAAUCCCCCUGGGCCUGCACUGACGCUCAUGCACGAAAGCGUGGGGAGCAAACAGGAUUAGAUAGCCCUGGUAGUCCACGCCCUAAACGAUGUCAACUGGUUGUUGGGAAGGUUCCUUCUCAGUAACGUAGCUAACGCGUGAAGUUGACCGCCUGGGGAGUACGGCCGCAAGGUU
rnacentral:rRNA from 1 species